GCCCUCAAUGCCUCCUCCUUGUCCCUUCGCAGCCCUGCGGGCGGCCGUGACGCUGGAGGAGAGCGGCGGCGGCCUCCAAAGGCCCGGGGGCUCCAUGAGGCUCCUGUGCAAGGCCUCGGGCUUCCCCUUCGGCUCCUACGGCAUGGGAUGGAUGCGCCAAGCACCGGGGCAGGGGCUCCAGUUCGUCGCUGGCAUUAACAGCAAUGGAGGUAGCACCUGGUACGCGCCAUCGGUGAAGGGCAGAGCCAGCAUCAGCAGGGACAACCCCCAGGGCACGGUCACGCUGCAGAUGAGCGGCCUCACGGAGCAGGACACGGGCACUUACUACUGUGGGAAGAGUGCUGGUGGUGGUGCUGGUGGUACUGGUGGUACUGGUUAUGGUGGUGCUGAUGGUGUACACAUAGCCAGCACCAUAACCACCAUAACCCCCAUAACCAUCAGAACCACCAUAACCAUCAUAACCAGCACCAUACCCACCAUAACCAGCACCAUAACCCCCAUAACCAUCAUAAUCACCAUAAUCAGCACCAUAACCAUCACCAUAACCACCAUAGGUUUAAUUAUCAACCGUAACAUAGCAGGGAUGGAGAAUACAUCGAAUUAUUAG